CCCACAGGAGGGUAGCCAGAGAGGUGAACAUCAUGAGGAAGCUGGGUACCCACAAGAAUGUGCUGCAGCUGCUAGACUGGAACAUCACACAGGCGCCUUAUAUGUUGAUCCUGGAGUCGGUGAGCAGUGGGACCCUGCGCAGUUUCCUGCAAGUGAAUCAACAUCAACUGAGCAGGGAUGUAUUGUAUUUGUAUUUGCAUUGCAAUGUACCUUUUGUUUGUUUAUCGUGUCAGGUCUUUUAAGAACAAAGCCUCAGGUGAGAGUAUCUGAGAGAAUCUUCCUGUAGCAUCUGAUCUGUACCAUUUGUGUGUAGGUCCAUUCCAACAACAUAUCAGUCUGUUCCAUCACAACAUUGUGAUGUUAUCACAUCAAGAGUCGUGUCAUUACAGUAGUGCCACCAACAGGCUGUAUCAUACUGUAUCAUUGUGCCCAAUUUAACACAAUUCUUUAUAUACACUACCGUUCAAAAGUUUGGGGUCACUUAGAAAUGUCUGUUUUUGAAAGAAAAGCACUUUUUGUCCAUUAAAGUAACAUAAAAUUGAUAAGAUAUACAGUGUAGACAUUGUUAAUGUUGUAAAUGACUACUGUAGCUGGAAACGGCAGAUUUUUAUGUAAUAUCUACAUAGGCGUACAGAGGCCUAUUAUCAGCAACGUCAACAGUGAAGAGGCGACUCUGGGAUGCUGGCCUUCUAGACAGAGUUCCUCUGUCCAGUGUCUGUGUUCUUUUUGCCAUCUUAAUAUUUUCUUUUUAUUGGCCAGUCUGAAAUAUGGCUUUUUCUUUACAACUCUGCCUAGAAGGCCAGCAUCCCGGAGUCGCCUCUUCCCUGUUGACGUUGAGACUGGUGUUUUGCGGGUACUAUUUAAUGAAGCUGACAGUUGAGGACUUGAGGCGUCUUUCUCAAACUAGACACACUAAUGUACUUGUCCUCUUGCUCAGUUGUGCACCGGGGCCUCCCACUCUUUCUAUUCUGGUUAGAGCCAGUUUGCGCUGUUCUGUGAAGGGAGUAGUACACAGCAUUGUACGAGAUCUGGAAUAGCCUUCAUUUCUCAGAGCAAGAAUAGACUGACGAGUUUCAGAAAUAAGUUUUGUUUCUGGACAUUUUGAGCCUGUAAUCGAACCCACAAAUGCUGAUGCAAUAAAACUGGCCUUCUUUAGACUACUUGAGCUUCUUUAAUCAGAACAACAGUUUUCAGCUGUGCUAACAUCUUUGCAAAAGGGUUUUCUAAUGAUCAAUUAGCCUUUUAAAAUUAUAAACUUGGAUUAGCUAACACAACGUGCCAUUGGAACACAGGUGUGAUGGUUGCUGAUAAUGGGCCUCUGUACACCUAUGUAGAAAUUCCAUAAAAAAUCUGCCGUUUCCAGCUACAAGUCAUUGACAACAUUAACAAUGUCUACACUGUAUAUCUUAUCAAUUUGAUGCUAUUUUAAUGGACAAAAUAUGUGAUUUUCCUUCAGAAACAAUGACAUUUCUAAGUGACCCUAAACUUUUGAAUGGUAGCGUAUACAGUUGAAGUUGGAAGUUUACAUACACCUUAGCCAAACACAUUUAAACUCAGUCCUUGCUCGCACAAGCUUUUUCAGUUCUGCCCACAAAUUUUCUAUAGGAUUGAGGUCAGGGCUUUGUGAUGGCCACUCCAAUACCUUGACUUUGUUGUCCUUAAGCCAUUUUGCCACAACUUUGGAAGUAUGCUUGGGGUCAUUGUCCAUUUGGAAGACCCAUUUGCGACCAAGCUUUAACUUCCUGACUGAUGUCUUGAGAUGUUGCUUCAAAAUAUCUACAUAAUUUUCCUCCCUCAUGAUGCAAUCUAUAUUUUGAAGUGCAUUAUUCCCUCCUGCAGCAAAGCACCCCCACAACAGGAUGCUGCCACCCCCGUGCUUCACGGUUGGGAUGGUGUUCUUCGGCUUGUAAGCGUCCCCCUUUUUACUCCAAAAAUAACGAUGGUCAUUAUGGCCAAACAGUUCAAUUUUUGUUUCAUCAGACAUUUCUCCAAAAAGUAUGAUCUUUUUACUGGUGGCUUUGGAGUAGUGGCUUCUUCCUUGCUGAGCGGCCUUUCAGGUUAUGUCGAUAUAGGACUCGUUUUACUGUGGAUAUAGAUACGUUUGUACCCGUUUCCUCCAGCAUCUUCACAAGGUCCUUUGCUGUUGUUCUGGGAUUGAUUUGCACUUUUCGCACCAAAGUACGUUCAUCUCAAGGAGACAGAACGCGUCUCCUUCCUGGGCGGUAAUGAUGGCUGCGUCGUCCCAUGGUGUUUAUACUUGCGUACUAUUGUUUGUACAGAUGAACGUGGUACUAUCAGGCGUUUGGAAAUUGCUCCCAAGGAUGAACCAGACUUGUGGAGGUCUACAAUUAUUUUCUGAGGUUUUUGCUGAUUUCUUUUGAUUUUCCCAUGAUGUCAAGCAAAGAGCCACUGAGUUUGAAGGUAGGCCUUGAAAUACAUCCACAGGUACACCUCCAAUUGACUCAAAUGACGUCAAUUAGCCUAUCAAGCUUAUAAAGCCAUGACAUUUUCUGGAAUUUUCCAAGCUGUUUAAAGGCACAGUCAACAUAGUGUAUGUACAUUUCGGACCCACUGGAAUUGUGAUACAGUGAAUUAUAAGUGAAACAAUCUGUCUGUAAACAAUUGUUGGAAAAAUGACUUGUCAUGCACAAAGUAGAUGUCCUACCCGGCUCGCCAAAACUAUAGUUUGUUAACAAGAAAUUUGUGGAGUGGAUGAAAAACGAGUUUUAAUGACUCCAACCUAAGUGUAUGUAAACAUCCGAUUUCAACUGUAUAUUAUCUUAAUGUUUUAUUUAACUAGGCAAGUCAGUUUUGAUCAAAUUCUUAUUUACAAUGACCGUCUACACUGGCCAAACCCAGACGACGCUGGACCAAUUGUGCGCCGCCCUAUGGGACUCCCAAUCACGGCCGUUUGUUAUACAGCCUGGAUUCAAACCAGGGUGUUUGUAGUGACGCCUUUAGCACUGAGAUGCAGUGCCUUAGACCGCUGCGCCACUCGGGAGCCCUAAUGCUAGUCAUGAGAUCACAACUUCGAAGGGCAGAAGUUGUGAAUGUUGCAUCUUUUUGAAUGCCAUAGGUAUGAGGUAUUUGAUUUAGGCAGAGUGGGACAUUAGACAGUUUGAGCAGUUAUACCUUACCGUUAUGCAACAAGUGAAUAGGUAGCUUUUCCCUCUGAGCUUUGAAAUAUGUAUUUACUAUAACUAUAUUGACAUACACUAUGUGAAACAUAGGAGUUGAAUUGAAUCUAAUCAGAUGGAGAAAAAAAUCCUACUCUUUAGGCUGUGAGCUAUAGUAUAUCCAUUACAAUACAUAGCUCUCAUUUCUUAAAAGUCUUGUUGAGGUAUAUGCUUUAUUUGGUGAAUCAAUUACUGAUUAUAACAGCUGGACAGAAACCUACCAACUCUACCUGGCCUAUGAUGGUAGAACGAUACACAUCCUGAUGACAAUUAUAUUUUUUUACAUUUUAACAUUAGCCAGCUAUUGCCGUGGUCAUUUUCAGUAUUGUCCCCCUGAAAAGCUUGAUGCAGUGAAUACUACUGAAUGAUUUAUUUAUUUUUUAUGUCUAUUUAGUUUUUUAAUUUAUUUCAUGUACUUUUGUAAAAUGUUUAAAUUGAAAUUUUAUUUUGCAAUAACCCUUGAGGAAAAACUGAAAUGUACAUAAAUACUUUUGGAAAAAAGAUGUAUUGGAAUAUGAGCUGUGAAGAUCUGCAUUGUAUAUGGAGUGAAUUAGUUUCUGUGACUAUUAAAGCAGCCAAUGAACUAUACAA